GAAAGAGAGAAUACGUGCGCGCACGCGUAUGUGUGUGUGUGUGUGUGUGUGUGUGUGGGUGUGGGUGGGGUUAUCGAAAGAAAUGAACGUGUUUAAUCGAGCAUUUCUGUAGAACAUAUUUUACGAAUACAAGUAGAAUGUGUCAAAAAGACGCGUAAAAUCUGUUUUAUAACGAUGUUCAGAGCUUAAAGAUAUAGUUUAGGCUUUUUUGUGCUAUAUACAUAUUCUUAAAAUGAAUACGACCGACAACAGCGAUAGUGUCAUCACGUCAAUCUUCAAUAUGCAAUAUAGCAGCCUGUAUUAUAACUACAUACAUCGAAUUGAAUUCCUAUUAAUACGUGUGUGUACGUAAGUUUGAAUGCAUGUAUAGACAUAUGUAUCACAUAUGCCAUCAUAUAUACGUAUGUACCUUAACUACAGGUAAUAAUAUCAUAAGAGCUUCUUAUCAAUAGGCCAUCACAAAAGUUGAAAACGUGUCUCAGCGCUCGUGCAACAGUGAUUUCAUAUAUGCCUAUCAUUUCUUAAUUUUUUUUAAAUUUGACAAAUCCAUAAUAAAUAUAACUAUUUGUUAUAUGAAAUGCAUUUAAUGUAAUCUCUUAAAUGUUAUUGUUAAUCAAAUUAACAUUUUAUGCGAUCGGCCCCGAUCCAUGUUAGCAAAUGUUUCCAUCAAUUUUUGUGUACAUACAACUGCUAUAAUUUAAAAUAAAAUCUACAUCAAUUGCGUCUAUUAAAAUUUCACGGUUGUGAGACAUGUUUUAUAAUAGAUCCAUAAUGAAAUUAUCGAAAGGAAUCUAUAAUUUGUACGUUUGUUUCUAUUUUAUUCUAGUGCGUGUAAUAAAAGAAGUCUAUAUAUGAAAUGGGGAAGACAUUUAUUUUUAUACAGUGUCUUCUUGAUGUUUAAAUCAGCACAAAAUAUAAUGAAUUACAUUAUGUACAUUAUACGAUCAUUGUAUAAUAUUUAUUUCAUAAUUCUAACACAGCCUUUCAGAUGUCAUGUGAUAUUAUACUUUGAAAAAAAUAUUUUUAAAUCCAUUUAUACUUAGCUGUACAUACAAAUAUGCUCCGUUUUACUCAUUUCCGCUUCAUAUCAGAUAUUAUGUGGAUUUAUAAAAUAUACACUAUGUUAUAAAAA